AACAGGGAUUGCCUCAGUAACGGCGAGUGAAGCGGCAAAAGCUCAAAUUUUAAAGCUGGCACCUCCGGUGUCCGCGUUGUAAUUUUGUGAGGCAUCUCCGGGUGGGGCGCCGGCCUAAGUUCCUUGGAACAGGACGUCAUAGAGGGUGAGAAUCCCGUGCUUGGCUGGCUGUCCCCGUCCAUGUGAGGUGUCUUCGACGAGUCGAGUUGUUUGGGAAUGCAGCUCAAAAUGGGUGGUAAAUUUCAUCUAAAGCUAAAUAUUGGUGGGAGACCGAUAGCGCACAAGUAGAGUGAUCGAAAGAUGAAAAGCACUUUGAAAAUAGAGUUAAAAAGUACGUGAAAUUGUUGAAAGGGAAGCGCUUGAGACCAGACUUCGGUGGGGAGUGAUCAGCCGUCCUUCUGGGCGGUGCACUUGCCCCCCUCCGGGCCAGCAUCGGUUGGGACGGCGGGAUAAAGGUCCCGGGAAUGUGGCUCCUCUCGGGGAGUGUUAUAGCCCGGGUGAAUGCCGCCAGCCCCGACCGAGGACCGCGCCUUCGGGCUAGGAUGCUUGGCAUAAUGGUCUUCAG
rnacentral:rRNA from 1 species